rnacentral:snRNA from 1 species
GUGCUCACUUCGGCAGCACAUAUACUAAAACUGGAACGAUACAGAGAAGAUUAGCAUGGCCCCUGCGCAAGUAUGACACACAAAUUUGUGAAGCGUUCCAUAUUUUU